GAUGAACGCUGGCGGCGUGCCUAAUACAUGCAAGUCGAGCGAACGGACGAGAAGCUUGCUUUUCUGAUGUUAGCGGCGGACGGGUGAGUAACACGUGGAUAACCUACCUAUAAGACUGGGAUAACUUCGGGAAACCGGAGCUAAUACCGGAUAAUCUUUUGAACCGCAUGGUUCAAAAGUGAAAGACGGUCUUGCUGUCACUUAUAGAUGGAUCCGCGCUGCAUUAGCUAGUUGGUAAGGUAACGGCUUACCAAGGCAACGAUGCAUAGCCGACCUGAGAGGGGGAUAGGCCACCCGGGAAGGGAGACAGCGUCCAGGGUCCUACGGGAGGCCGCAGUCGGGUAUCGUACGCAGUGGGCGGAAACAUGACGGAGCAACGGCGCGUGAGUGGUGGAAGUGUUCGGAUCGUAAUACUCUGUUACGAGGGAAGAACAGAUGUGUAAGUAGCUGAGGACAGCUUGACGGUACCUAAUCAGAAAGCCACGGCUAACUACGUG
rnacentral:rRNA from 1 species